rnacentral:lncRNA from 1 species
AUGCGCCUGUCCUGGAGACUCGGACACCCGCCGAUGCCUGAGGACCUUCCACUGAAUGGAGUAUUCCCUAUGGCUGAUCCAAGGCACCUUCUCACUGGUGGAGCAAGGAAAUAUACACACACAAGUGUUCCCUCGGAACAGGAGAGUGGUUUCCCACCUGGAGUUACUGGAGCCAGCUUGAGGGCAGAUCUCUAUUAUUUUGAAGAAAUCCACAUUUGUCCUGCAGACAGUGUAGGGAGAAGUUAUUCCUCACUGUAGUGGCAUAAGAAGAUACCCUCAGCAGGGUAAGUGGUGUUAUUAAAAUGGCCCCUAGCCUGAAUGUGUGUGGUAUUUUCUGGGGGGGCAAUAGAGUAGGAGGCUGAGAUGGUG